AGAGGGGUAGAAUUGGAACUCUCCAAAACUGAGCGGAGAAACUUUAAAAAACUGAUCUCAUCACUUCCUCGUAACCGGAAAAUCUUAUUAAAACACCGUAACCGCCUCCCUCCUCCGCUUCUAUAGGUUUCCGUCGUAACAGAAUUUGAUUCCUCGACUCCGAAUCAAUUGAUAAUUUCGAUUUGAUCUCCCACAGAUCUAUCUAUUGGUGGAAGAAGAUGAUCCGAUUAAGAACCUACGCAUGCCUCAGCUUCAUCGCAACCCUCUCCAUAAUCCACCACGCCUUCUCCACCCGAGGCCAGUUCUACCCGGCCGCCGUCUACCUCUCCACCUCCAAGAUCAGCCUAAUGCUCCUCCUCAACAUGUGCCUCGUCCUCAUGCUCGCCCUCUGGCACCUCGUCAAGCUCCUCUUCCUCGGCUCCCUCCGCGAAGCCGAGAUCGAGCGGCUCAACGAGCAGGCAUGGAGAGAGCUCAUGGAGAUCCUCUUCGCCAUCACCAUCUUCCGCCAAGACUUCUCCAGUGGCUUCCUCCCCCUUGUCGUCACGCUUCUCCUCAUCAAGGCCUUGCACUGGCUCGCUCAGAAGCGAGUCGAGUUCAUCGAGACGGCUCCUAACGUCUCCAGGCUCGCUCACGUUCGUAUUGUUUCAUUUUUGGCGUUUCUUCUUGUUGUGGAUUCGAUCUUUAUGUAUAGCUCGGUUCGGCAUUUGGUUCGGUCUAGGCAGGCCUCCGUUUCUCUCUUCUUCUCUUUCGAGUAUAUGAUUUUGGCGACGACGACGGUGGCGAUUUUUGUGAAGUAUGUGUUCUUUGUUACUGAUAUGAUUAUGGAUGGUCAGUGGGAGAAGAAGCCUGUUUAUACUUUCUAUCUUGAGCUUAUCCGUGACCUGCUUCAUUUGUCAAUGUACAUUUGCUUCUUCUUUGUCAUCUUCAUGAACUAUGGUGUGCCUUUGCAUUUGUUGAGAGAGCUUUAUGAGACCUUCAGGAACUUCCAGAUUCGUGUUUCUGAUUACCUUCGUUAUCGUAAAAUCACUUCCAAUAUGAACGACAGGUUCCCUGAUGCAACUCCUGAAGAACUUACUGCAAGUGAUGCCACAUGUAUCAUAUGCCGUGAAGAAAUGACAACUGCGAAGAAGCUGAUAUGCGGGCAUCUCUUCCAUGUACAUUGUCUUCGAUCAUGGUUGGAACGACAGCAGACAUGUCCGACUUGCAGGGCACUUGUUGUACCUCCUGAGAAUGGCACAUCUACUACAGCUGCAGGGCAACGAGGAUUGCACCAAGGUUCUCAGCAAGGUACUUCAAGCUCAGGUGGCCAGGGAUCUGAAACGCGUUCUUCUGCUGGCGGUUCCAAUGAUAGUUUGAGCAGGCAUCACGCCAGACUUCAAGCAGCUGCUUCUGCAGCCUCCAUGUAUGGGAAGUCAAUGGUGUAUCCAUCUGCAGACAAAGUAGCAUGGUCGCCGGGUUUUCCUGGUACAGUGAAAGCCUCAGCAGAACCACAUGGAACCCAUCCUUCAUCAUCCUCAGCGGCUUCUCAGCUUCCUCAACAAAACCUUCCUGGUGAAAACUCUCGUGCCUAUGCAAAUAUCCCAGCGGACAAGCUGGAAACGAUGAAGAAAUCUCUGGAGAGCCAGCUCGAGCGUUAUGUUUGUAGACUUUGCGAAACAGACUUCAGUUUCUGGAGUCCACAGGAGAAGCAGAUGACAAAGGGAAGAGAGUUGUUGAUCGAUGCGACAGAGCAGCAGAGUGAAUAGCAAAUUAGAGGGAAACAAAACGCUGGGUCUAGAACUGAGGCAGAGAAGAUAUAGACAAAGAGAUGAUAAAAAGAUGGAAGACACUCCUUUACUUGAACUAGUCUUUUGUCCGCGGAUAAUGAAAGCUUACCAAACGAGUUAUAAGAAGAAGAAGAAGAAAAGAGAGAGAGACUACUAACACACACAUAUAGCAAACAUCGAGCUCUCU